GUGAAUUAGUUACACAGAAAAAUGAAAUGUGAAUUUCCAAAGGAAGAAUGAGUGAAAUAUUUAAUACAGGUACCUGUGUAAAACUGCAACUACCCUCCUCCAAGAAAAGAAACACUGUGAUGGAAAAACUUUCUGCUUACAUUUCUACUAAAGAAAAAACACGAGACCAUCAAAUCAGCACUCUGCAUUUGCUUUCCUAAGAUCACAAAAUUUUGUCGUGAUGCUAUAAACUACCCAAUAUCCUGCAGAUGAAGAGUCAAUGGACAAAUUUAAUUGAAGGCCUGUGACAUAAAAGACACCUGAUGUAUAUUUGCACAGAACAUGAAUGCACAAGCUGAUUGUUGUAAUGAGCUUCUGUGACCAAUGAACUUCAUUUCAAGGCCCACGAUGAAAGCUGCAGACACUGAGGCUCAGGUUAUUGUUUCAUGCUCUGCCAUCUGACAAGAGAACCUCUACCUGAAUAUUCAAGAUCCCACAAUACAGACAUAUGCGAAGCCAAUCCACAGCUUUGAUUUCAGACAACGGAUCUGGAAUGAGCCGAAUCAAUCAAGAACUGACUCACACAUAUGUGAAUGGGAAAAAAAUCCUUACUCUAAGCUAUUCAGUGUUUUAAAUGUUUGCAGUAAUGUUACACAUAAGUUCCUAAUGAGCAAAUAUGUCACUGUAGAAAUUAAGGCCAUCUGUUGAAAUUAUGCAGUGGUUAUGUACAUCUAUGUGACAUGUAAAUUAUGU